rnacentral:rRNA from 1 species
CCUACGGGAGGCAGCAGUGGGGAAUAUUGCACAAUGGGGGAAACCCUGAUGCAGCGACGCCGCGUGAGUGAAGAAGUAUCUCGGUACGUAAAGCUCUAUCAGCAGGGAAGAAAAUGACGGUACCUGACUAAGAAGCCCCGGCUAACUACGGGCCAGCAGCCGCGGUAAUACGUAGGGGGCAAGCGUUCGCCGGAUUUACUGGGUGGAAAGGGAGCGUAGACGGCAGCACAAGUCUGGAGUGAAAUCCCGGGGCUUAACCCCGGAACUGCUUUGGAAACUGGGCGGCUGGAGUGCAGGAGGGGUAAGCGGAAUUCCAGGUGUAGCGGUGAAAUGCGUAGAUAUUAGGAGGAACACCGGUGGCGAAGGCGGCUUACUGGACUGUAACUGACGUUGAGGUUCGAAAGCGUGGGGAGCAAACAGGAUUAGAUACCCUUGUAGUC